UUCUCCAUUUCUCUCAAACUCCCAACUGCACCCCCUCCUUCCCUCCUUUCUCUCUGAAAAUUUUCAGCCUCCAAAAAUCAAUAAAAAUCCAUCCCAUGGCUCUCUCUCCCUAAGCAUCUCCCUCUUGGCUCUCUCUCCCUAAUGCUCAGACUCCCUCUUGGCUCUCUCUCCCAAACGGCCUGCUCCCUCUCGGGUCUCUCUCCCAAACGAUCCGCUCCCUCUUCUCAGCUCUCUCUCCCUAACGCCGAAACGGUCCGCGACUCCCUCUCGGGUCUCUCUCUCUCUCGGCUCCGAGCUGCUCUCCCUUUUGUCGAGCUGCUCUCUCUUUCUCAGAUGCCGAAACCCAGACAGAGUCAAAUACAUGCUGACCAUAGACAAAUUGACACAGAGGCUUACUGAGCUUGUAAAAUUCUGCAGCUGAGUACAAAGCACAACCGAAGCAUUUGAGUCUUGCAUGGAUUCAGAAACCAGAGGGAUAAUGGCAAUAUAUGUCACUGCACAGCUAAGGAGAACUUCCGAGAUUAUAUUUAUUGCAGUCUAAUGCUUUUUGUUGAGGGUACAAGCGUCACACACGCUUCUCAUAUAUCAUUUGGUUUGUCCUUUUAUGAAUAAUGUAAAAUUAGAACAAUUUUAUUGUAAGAUCCAUCAACAGAGUAUCAGAUUAAAAUAUUUAGAUUAUUAUUAGGACUUAGAAGUGGUUUGAGUUUUUUUAUGUAUUUAUUUAUUUAUUUUUAUUGAUAAUGUUGAAAGAUGUUAUAAGUUAGCUUACAUUAUAUGUUAAUGAGAAAUUUAAAUUUCUUUUGAUUU